ACCAAGUGCGCAGAACUGCUUUUUAUGUAUUGAACAAGAUGAAUCUUAGCAACGUAAUUAUCUUGUAACAUCCGUAUUUUAUUUUUAAAAAAAAGAUACGGCUGUUUAAAACAAAAAUUAAACUGAAAGCUUGUUAUCCACAGCACUGUUUGGGCUUCGACAAUCAAAACAAGAUAACAAGAGAAUGAAACCAAUCUACGAAGACAUGAGAAACUGUGGAAAGUUGUCAGACCUGCCAGUUUGGUCUUUGAUAUUGUCUCUCCUCUUUAGUCGACUGGAUGUCUCCGACUCUAUAGAGUUGAGGAGAGUCUUGAAUGACACAAGUCAUAGGAUAGUGAAAAGAGGAACUAACGGAUUCAGUGAAGAGGAAAAAGUGGCUAUGGUUAGGGCCCAUAACGAGGCAAGAGCCAAAGAAGGUGCAGCCGAUAUGCUUGCUAUGCACUGGGAUGAUGCCAUAGGAACCUCUGCCCAAGCCCAUGCAGAUAAAUGUGACUUUACUCACAGCACUCAAAGUCAACGUUAAAAUAUUGGAGGACAUGAGGUGAUUGGGGAAAAUCUUUACUUUUCAACAGGGGAGACAAUUCCUAAACACGCAGUGGAUGCAUGGUACGAUGAGAAAAAAGACUAUGAUUUUCCAACUAAGGCCUGCAGACCUACGUUUAAUUGUGGACAUUACACACAGGUUGUUUGGGCAAAAUCCUACGCUC